UCACUUAAUGCUUUAAGGUAUACGUGUGUAAGAUAUUUCUAAGAACAGAUCCAUAGGAUUGGUUUGUUUUUCUUUUUAUGAGGAGACUUGUUAAAGUGAAAUACAAGAUUCUCGAUUCCUGACCAGAUUUUUGCAGUCUUUCCAUUAAGUAAAUACAACUAUGAAAAGAACAAACAAUUUGACCACAGAGCUGUUGCAUUCUCAAAUCUGAUUGGUCAGAAAGUGUUGAUUAAUGUUCUCAAACAGCAGCCCUGACUGUAGUUCCGGUUGUAACUCAAAUCACAGGUUUACAUAAAUGUGCUCCUUCUAAUGCAUUAUCGUUUCUAUAGUAACAGCUCAUUCACAGGGACUUAUACAGUGGAAGCUCCAGUAUAACUGUAAUUGUGGAUAUGGUGAAGUUUUCUGUAAGGAGACGUUUAUUUAACAUUCAUAGAAGGAGUCUCCAGUUUCAGCGCUUUGUAGAGGUAAGGCUGUAAAUCUUCUAUUUAAAAAAAAAUGAUGAAAAAUGCCUUUACGCUAACUUUUUUCAACACUUAUGUACCGUUUAGUAUUUCUUCUUAAAUACUUAAACUCAAUGUAAAUUCUAAUCAAUUAUUAAUCAUAUAAUUACUACUCAGCGUAAAAAAAAAUUGACAGGCGAGUGAGUAGAGGAAAUAUAAAGUGCUUUUAGCUUCACACACUCUGUCAUGAUUGACAGGCGCUCCAGAGUCGUGUGUGUUCUCAUGCAUGGCAGCUGGCGGAUGUCAAACACACAUUAAAGACUGAGUAACAAAUAGGUUCUCCACUGGCUUAACUAUUUCCUCUGUCUCUUGAUCUAUCACCCCUGCUCAUGGUGCAUCCAAUCAGAGAGAGAGAGAGAGAGCGAGAGAGAGAAUGGGGGAAGAGAGCAGGAGAAAAGCUGAAGGUAGGACCAUUAUUUGCUGAGGUCCACAAAAUGGGGAGAAAAGACUGCAGAGCAUUAAUUCUCUCUCUCUCUCUCUCUCUCUCUCUCUCUCUCUGUCUCUCUCUCUUUCAGUGCAGCACUGAAACAUGAUGCAUGCAGUCCAUUCAGAACCGUGUGUAACCCAUUCACACAUCGAAGUGUGUUAUAUGUGUCCAUGUGUGUGUAUCAAAUCAUAUGAUUAGAAAAAAAACAUAUUUUCUGUAAUUCCUGACAAAGAAACACACUCUCGUACACACACUUUUGCAGGAAGGAGAGAUGUGGAGAAGUGAACGAUUUUUUUUAUUGCUGCAGUAAAACAAAGAAUGACUCUCUCCCUCCUCCCCCUAUCUCUCUCUCUCUCACUCUCUCUCUCUCUCACUUUCAUGAAUGAAUGUGGUGCCUACAGUAUCUCUGUCUUUCCUCCAUGGAUCCACAUCUUACCUUUCUUAUUCACACUUUUAAGUUCUGCAUAAAACACUCAGAUUACAGCAGGCGAGCCAAACUUCCUCUCUCUCUCUCUCUCUUUCUCUGUGUUCUAUUCACAGAGGUAGCACAGCACCUCUUCCACCUCAUUUAAACACUCUCCAUCCAUUUCUGCCCUCUCCCAAUUUCAGUCUAUCUGUCCCUGACUUGUAAAGUGAGCUAAACCAGAGUAAACUAGUAAGUUCUGCACAAAUUCCAUCAUCUCUCUUCAUCUUUGUUCACUCUAUCAAUUUCAUUUCCCCCUCAGCUUCAUCCACUCUUCAUCCCCUCCUUCUCUCUCUCUCUCUCUCGUUUUCUCUCUCUCUCUCUCUCUCUCUCUCUCUCUCUCUCGAUGCCUCCUAUAGAGUUCUUGCUUCACUCUGCGCCUGCAAACUGUCCCAGGAUCCACAGCAAAGAAAAUCACUGGGAAAUGGCGACAGAAUAAGAUAAGCAGAGGGAUGGAGAGGGAGGACGCAGAGAAACGAACCCAAAAAAAAAACAAGAAGAGACCAGAGGAAGAGCGAAAAGGACGAGGCGGAGGGCUGAGAACCUGGUGUCAGAGGUGAGAUCUCAGAUUCAAGGGGUGUUUAUAUCUUUGGAGGAUGUGAUCUGAGGGAAGCAUGCCAUCGAGAAGAGAGAACAAAGACAUAACCGAAUGUUUAAGAUGUUUUAAGAAAGAGAGACAAUAUAUAUUUCUGAAUAUAAAGUAUAAAAAGCUUGGCAAGACUAACUAGACAUGAAAACAUUUGCACUAAUGUCUAUUCUUGUCUUAUUUAGCUUACAGGCUACCUUCUAGCUAUCCACCAACAUUAGCUAUUUAAAAACAUGCUAGGGUUAUCUAUAUGCUUCUAAAUAGAAAAGAAGUGUUGUUGUCCUACAAACAUUCGACCACUCGUUCACACAGACAGAUGGACAGACAACCUGAAAACACUAUGCAAUCGAGACAUACAAACAAAAAAAAAGCUUUACACAGUCUCAGAUUGCUAAGUGACUGUCAACGUUUGUAAAGUUUAGCUAGCUAGAUAACUCCUGCCUUAAAUCCGCAUUAAGUCUCUCAUAAAGUGAAACAUCAAAACGUCCACCUAUAAAAAGUUUUUUAUUUUAUUACUUGUUAUUAUGUUGCAGCAAUAGGUGCCUAUCCAAGAUGGCGACACCCAGUAACGAAUAUUUGAUUUUUUUUUUUUUUUUUUUUUGCUAGCUAGUUAACAGAAGAGAAUAUUUUAGACCUUAUCCACCUGUUGGUCUUAUGAAGUGGUUAAGUGAGAGAACUUUGAUGCUGCUUUAAGUCAUUUAUUCCUGUGUACAGUAUUGAAAUAUUAAUAUUUAGGGUCAGUUGGUAUAAACAUGUUAGCAAGGCUAAUUUCUGUCUUCCAAAGAUUAAAAGAUAUCAGUGUAAGAUUUCAUUUUUUGGCGUCCACAUCAGAUUAUUUGCUUUUAACAAAUGUGAUUUUUUUUUUUUUUACCUUUGUGGAACCGAGCAAAACAGCACCACUAAAGGUCAUAAGAGAAAUGCACAGAAUGGUAUGAAGAAGUAAGAAGUGAGGCUGGGGCUGAUUUCUUUCGAGCCCAGACUGCAGAUUCAUGCAGCCGUGUCAGGGAAAGUCGUGUCAGGUGAUCACAUAGAGUGACAGAUUUGAUCUCCAUUCGAUCUGAUAUUUUUCAGACACAUCUGUAAUACAUCAUCAGCAGUGAUUGAGAAGACACGUGUGAAAUACCAUCGCAGGAUUUACAAGCGUGAACGAGCAUGACAAUGCCCCUGUGCACAAAGCGAGCUCCAUGAAGACAUGGUGUGUGAAGGUUGGAGUGGAGGAACUGGAGUGUCCUGCACAGAGCCCUGACCUCAACCCCACUGAACACCUUUGGGAUGAACUGGAACACCGAC